rnacentral:rRNA from 1 species
UCCGGUGGCGAUGCGCUUAGGGGAAACACCUGUUCCCAUCCCGAACACGAUGGUUAAGACCUAAGCGGCCGAUGGUACUAUGCUGGAGACGGCAUGGGAGAGCAGGUGGCUGCCGGAU